rnacentral:tRNA from 1 species
GAGGGUAUAGCUCAGUGGUAGAGUGCAUGCUACCAUGCAUGAGGUCCUGGGUUCAACACCCAGUACCUCCA